rnacentral:rRNA from 1 species
ACCGUAGCCGCCGAAGAAACCCCGGCUAACUCCGUGCCAGCAGCCGCGGUAAUACGGAGGGUGCGAGCGUUUAUCGGAAUUACUGGGCGUAAAGCGCAUGCAGGUGGUUUGUUAAGUCAGAUGUGAAAGCCCGGGGCUCAACCUCGGAAUAGCAUUUGAAACUGGCAGACUAGAGUACUGUAGAGGGGGGUAGAAUUUCAGGUGUAGCGGUGAAAUGCGUAGAGAUCUGAAGGAAUACCGGUGGCGAAGGCGGCCCCCUGGACAGAUACUGACACUCAGAUGCGAAAGCGUGGGGAGCAAACAGGAUUAGAUACCCUGGUAGUCCACGCCGUAAACGAUGUCUACUUGGAGGUUGUGGCCUUGAGCCGUGGCUUUCGGAGCUAACGCGUUAAGUAGACCGCCUGGGGAGUACGGUCGCAAGAUUAAAACUCAAAUGAAUUGACGGGGGCCCGCACAAGCGGUGGAGCAUGUGGUUUAAUUCGAUGCAACGCGAAGAACCUUACCUACUCUUGACAUCCAGAGAACUUUCCAGAGAUGGAUUGGUGCCUUCGGGAACUCUGAGACAGGUGCUGCAUGGCUGUCGUCAGCUCGUGUUGUGAAAUGUUGGGUUAAGUCCCGCAACGAGCGCAACCCUUAUCCUUGUUUGCCAGCGAGUAAUGUCGGGAACUCCAGGGAGACUGCCGGUGAUAAACCGGAGGAAGGUGGGGACGACGUCAAGUCAUCAUGGCCCUUACGAGUAGGGCUACACACGUGCUACAAUGGCGCAUACAGAGGGCRGCCAACUUGCGAAAGUGAGCGAAUCCCAAAAAGUGCGUCGUAGUCCGGAUUGGAGUCUGCAACUCGACUCCAUGAAGUCGGAAUCGCUAGUAAUCGUGGAUCAGAAUGCCACGGUGAAUACGUUCCCGGGCCUUGUACACACCGCCCGUCACACCAUGGGAGUGGGCUGCAAAAGAAGUAGGUAGUUUAACCUUCGGGGGGACGCUUACCAGU